ACGGGUGAGGAACACGUAGGAACCUGCCCUUAAGCGGGGGACAACCAAGGGAAACUUUGGCUAAUACCGCAUAAACUCGAAAGAGCAAAGCUGCCCGCAAGGGUGGCACUUAAGGAGGGGCCUGCGUCCGAUUACCUAGUUGGUGAGGUAAAGGCUCACCAAGGCGAUGGUCGGUAACUGGUCUGAGAGGACGGCCAGUCACACUGGGACUGACACACGGCCCAAACUCCUACGGGAGGCAGCAGUGGGGAAUAUUGGACAAUGGGGGCAACCCUGAUCCAACGAUGCCGCGUGGGUGAACAAGGCCUUAAGGUUGUAAAGCCCUUUAGGUUGGGACGAAGUGUAGUAAUUGAUAAUGCUAUUGCAUUGACGGUACCAACAGAAUAAGCACCGGCAAACUCUGUGCCAGCAGCCGCGGUAAUACAGAGGGUGCAAGCGUUAAUCGGAGUUACUGGGCGUAAAGGGCGCGUAGGCGGUGAGAUGAGUGUGAUGUGAAAGCCCCGGGCUUAACCUGGGAAGUGCAUCGCAAACUGAUCUGACUGGAGUAUAAGAGAGGGUGGCGGAAUUUCCAGU
rnacentral:rRNA from 1 species